AAACAGAUAUACAGAAUCCUACCCCAUCCUCUACACACCAUCUCCGACCAUCCCAUCACACCAUGUGGGGUUAACAACACUCACCCAUCUUUACACGCCAUAUAGUGUCUAUAACGGGCCUAUUCUGCUCGGGCCCAAAUUAGACCAAAAAACCAAACACAAAAAAAAUCUCAAAUAUUAACAGUCCAUCAGACCCAAAUUACAAAGCCCAAAAAAAUUAAAAACCCUAAUAGCCUAAAUAACCCAGCACCCCAAACACCUAACAAAAACCCUAGCCCCCUUUUGCGCCGUACCUACCCUCUAAUAGCCACUGCCACCGCCGCUCCUCCCACGCGCGCUGCACGGCCUCUUCACAC
rnacentral:lncRNA from 1 species